UCCUUUCCUCGAUCUCUCGGCCACCUCCUCCUCCUUCUCCGAUCUUUUUUUUUUCCCUCCUCCCACUGUCUUCUCUACGGUUUAAUCAAAGUUCAGCUACUCCACUUGCCUCUCCUCUCAUUUCUUUCGGAAAGGGGAAACCAGACGACCCAGCGGCCACGGGACGAGUCACCCCAACUCAACCCCAGCAGGACGCUGGAGGGGCCUCCCUUGCCCACCUCUCUUCGCUAGCACUGGCCUCCCGCACCUGGGUCUGCAGUCCCUCCGCCAUCUCACAAGUGUGCAGCCGCUAGGCCUGGGGGAUCCGAAUGACUGGGGCUGGAUAGGAAUGCCUUCGUGUUUCCCAAGACCCCCGGGCCUGCUCCACAAAGUUUGAAGGGAGCCCCUGUUUUAAGAAGGAGGCCAAAUGUGCAGGCUCAGGCCAAGCAGCAGAGAUGAAUGAGGUGAUGACCACAGCCUUGAUCCGGCAGGAGCUCAGAGAUGCCCGGGAAGACGGGGGGCCCGAAUGGAAGCAGAAAAACACUUAUGGCCGCUGGGAAGUUGGGAGAGCCAGGCUGGGGCUCCGGCAGGCCCAGGGAAAGUUCCCUUUCUAGGCUCUUUAUUAAAAAAUUUAAAAGGAGGAGUUGAGGCGCCUUGAAUUUUCCUUCGCGAGUUUGGAGACCAGCCGAUUUUUCAUGAAGCAAGCAAGGGCCGCGGUCCCGGAUCCUGCAACAUAUACCUCAUUUUCUCCAGGCCUCUCCACUUGCCCGAGCUCUCAGCCACCAGGAGACAGACGGAAGGGGCUUCUGGGCUGUGUUGGGAGCGGGCAUUGUCCCCUACCCACUCCUGCACAGUUUCCCAAAGUCCAGCGACCUCCGACCCUCCUUGGGGAAAAAAAUACCAGUACCCAGACACCUCUGCACCCUGUUAUAUGACUGGGCUUGCUUCAGGAAUAUCUUACAAAGAAGAAGAAGGAGGAGGAACGGCUUGGAGUCAUGUUUACAUCUAGUUCUACUGAUCCGUUCACAUCUGGAGAGUUUAUUUAUAACUCCCUCUAUAACUCUCUGUUUGGAGGCACUGGUGGCUCUACUGACAGACUGAUGUCUAGGAAAUAUUGCUCUAUGUCUAAUGGUACCUAAAUGUGCUGUGGUUGUAUUUACAGAUUUACGUUUGAGGGAAAUAUAAUUAUUUCCAUUGUA
rnacentral:lncRNA from 1 species